CACGGGGGGAGCAAGCGUUGUUCGGAAUCACUGGGCGUAAAGGGCGUGUAGGCGGUCAGGUAAGUGAGACGUGAAAUGCCCCGGCUUACCCGGGGACCUGCGUCUCAUACUGCUUGGCUUGAGUACGGGAGAGGGUGUGGGAAUUCCUGGUGUAGCGGUGAAAUGCGUAGAUAUCAGGAGGAACACCGGUGGCGAAGGCGGCAUCCUGGACCGAGAUUGACGCUGAGGCGCGAAAGCUAGGGGAGCAAACGGG
rnacentral:rRNA from 1 species